rnacentral:misc_RNA from 1 species
AAUGGAUCAAGUUGGCAAAUCAGGAAGGAGAGAAACAAGGUAGUUUUUUAUUCUUGUACGCCAAAUCCUCGCUCUACUUUGAUGAGAAUUAAUUGUGCAAUUCAAGAGCUGGACUCGGAGGGUGUGCAUCCAACUAGCAAUGGAUCAAGUCCAGCCAUGGCUCCCCAUCCAGUGAUCUGGUCUCGGCCUGCUUGGGGUUUUAUCAAGUUCAAUUGUGAUGUUGCAUGGUCUGAAUCCUCUCCCAUUUCUUCAGUUGUUGUUAUCGCAAUGAAUUUUUCAGGCAGGGUUGUUGAUGGUAGGGCAAAGAAAGACCGGUGCUCUUCCCCUUUGAGUGGGAAGCUACUGUUGUGCCGGAGGCAAUUCGAUUAGCAAAUGAUAUGGGAUGUUCUAAUUAGUUCUGGAAUCUGAUUCUCUGAUCCUCAUAAAUGCUUUAGGAUCAAAGCAGCACCAACGCUCCAUGGGAAAUUCGAGCUGUUGUUCAGGCUAUUCAAUCUUUCAUGAAGGGUGAUCUUUCCCAUGUUAGCUAACUUAGUAUGCAAAAUCAAUUGCCCUGUAAUUAGAUCUCUGCCACUCUUCUUCGGAUAGCUUGCUGUAAUGAUGCUCCAGGGGCUUGUAAUGCGGAUUUAUUUUGCAUCUUAAAAAAAAAAAGAAAAAAGAGUGAGAAAUG